GAUGGAGUACGAGUAACACCUAAAUUCAACAAUUACGUCGAUGCAUAGUUUCAGUACUGUUCAACUGGUACGGGUUCUCUGGAUCUGAGUAUAUAUAUGAAAUAAAUGUAGUGAAAAGUACAUAACACAAGCAUGAAGCAUGCCCAUGCUGUCAAAGAGAAAGUGAAAAUGCCCAUAGGGUUGAAGAAAAUAUGAUCACUUUCUGUUAGAUCCUGACUGGGACUUGCAAUUAACUUGCAAGUAGUGCAUGAAGAAACGGAACUGGGAAAAGCAAGUCAUCUUUUCCAGAAGGAAA
rnacentral:lncRNA from 1 species